GUGCUCGCUUUGGCAGCACAUACACUAAAAUUGGAACGAUACAGAGAAGAUUAGCAUGGCCCCUGCGCAAGGAUGGCACGCAAAUCCGUGAAGCGUUCCGUAUUUUU
rnacentral:snRNA from 1 species